CCUACGGGAGGCAGCAGUCGGGAAUAUUGCACAAUGGGGGAAACCCUGAUGCAGCGACGCCGCGUGGGGGAAGAAGUUUUUCGGUAUGUAAAGCCCUAUCAGUAGGGAAGAAAAUGACGGUAUCUGACUAAUAAGCCCCGGCUAACUACGUGCCAGCAGCCGCGGUAAUACGUAGGGGGCAAGCGUUACCCGGAUUCACUGGGUGUAAAGGGAGCGUAGGCGGGAGAGCAAGUCUGAAGUGAAAGGCGAGGGCUCAACCCUCGGACUGCUCUUGAAACUGUUCGGCUGGAGUACAGGAGAGGUAAGUGGAAUUCCUAGUGUAGCGGUGAAAUGCGUAGAGAUUAGGAGGAACACUAGUGGCGAAGGCGGCUUACUGGACUGUAACUGACGUUGAGGCUCGAAAGCGUGGGGAGCAAACAGGAUUAGAUACCCCUGUAGUC
rnacentral:rRNA from 1 species